UGCCCGGUAGCUAAAUUCGGAAGAGAUAACCGCUGAAAGCAUCUAAGCGGGAAACUUGCCUCGAGAUGAGUCUUCCCUGGGGCUUUAAGCCCCCUGAAGGAACGUUAAAGACUAUGACGUUGAUAGGCUGGGUGUGUAAGUGCAGCGAUGCAUUGAGCUAACCAGUACUAAUGAUCCGUGAGGCUUAACCUU
rnacentral:rRNA from 1 species